UUGCCUUGCGUGGGACUCUUGUGCGUGAAUGGUCACUUGUAACUUGUUCUUGCCGUGAACUUGAGUUAGAGGCGGCCAUUGGAUCCUUGAGUGGAGUUGGUUGCCGAGUGACUCUAGCUUGCUACUUGUACAUGAGGUUAGUUAUUUAUUACUUAUGGUAAUUUGUGGAUGGCCGUGAGUAUUGUUAUUGCUAGCCUUGUGUUGUAUUGCCGUGAGGGUGCUUGGUUGCUUAUUGUUGCUUGCGUGAUUUGUUGUUACUUGUGAUAUUGAGGUUCAGCCAUUGUUUAAGUUUGGGUUAUAAACUUUAUUGCCGUGAGGUUCACUUUGUGUGGGAGUGUUGCCGUGAACUUUGGGUGCCUUGAGUUUGGUGGUAACCUUGUUGCCGUGUGACUCCUUAGUGGUGAGUUUGAGUGGCUUGUGUAAGGUUUAUUGCCGUGGGCACCAUUGUGGCUCAUUGUUGAGUUUCGGCUAUUUGUGAUCCUUGGUUUGGAAGUGUUGCCGUGUGACCCUCCUUGUUGUGAGAGUGGUAGUUUGGUGGCCGUGAGCACCCUUGUGACUUUGGGCGCAUUGUUGGGUUGCUUGGUUGCCGUGGGACACUUUGAGGUGUUGGAUUUAUUGGCAUUAUCAACUUGGUGCCGUGAGGCUCUUGGAGAAUCUUUGGUUGUUAGAGUGUUGCCGUGGAUCUUUGGGGUGACUUGUGGGAAUCUUGUUGCCGUGGGAGUCCAAAGAUUGGUGGCCGUGGUAACCUUGUUGAUGUGUGAACCUCUUGGUGUUGAUUUGCUGCCGUGAGCAUCCUUGGUAACACUUGGUGUUUGGGAUUUGGUUGCCGUGAACCUAAGGUGCAAGGUUGGUAGCCGUGAGAUCUGUGGGACAUUGAGGAGGCUGACUUGUUGGAGG
rnacentral:misc_RNA from 1 species